CGGUGAGUGGUGGGAGAGGAUAUAUACUGCUGUGUGCUCGACCAGCGGGUGAGAGGUAAGUUAUAUCGAAUAAUUAUGGGAAAGAUAGCAUGUCGGGUAAAUGCCAGUCGCGGAAAGUUCCUAAUAUGGUGGUAAAUUCUCCCUCGGCUGGCACUGCUCUCCAGCCUGGGAUGUUGAUUGGUUAGUCU